GAGUAAAUUGUGUUUUUCAAGGAAAAGGGCAAUAUGUUCUAUUUCUUUAGUAGUUCCCACAUCAUUACAAUCAGAGGCUCCAUUAGGGCUUUCAUAAUUUUGAGAUCUUAUCAUAAGGAAAUAAGUCAACUGAAUGUGUGUUAACACGUUGUUUAUAGCACUUCUUUAAGUGCUAAAGAAAAGGCAUAGUCUUUUCUUUAAAAGAGUUUAUAUUCCAGCAUCUAACAGCUUUUUCUACCCUUGCCCUUUAAACUCAUUUUCUCCGUUCCUAUGGAAGAUGGAAAACAGCUGGUCAGCAUCCUCAGCUAAUACUUGUUAAACGCCGUCUUAAAAAUAAUCCGUUAGCUUGAGGACAUUAUGCUAAGCGAAAUAAGCUAGUCACAAAAGGACAAAUACUAUAUGAUUCCACUUAUGUGAGGUAACUUCAGUAGUCAAACGCAGUAGAACAAAAAGUAGAAUGGUGGUUCCAAGGCCUGGGAGGAGGCGGCAUUAGGGAGUUACUGUUUAACGGAUACAGAGUUUCAAUUUUGCAAGAUGAAAAGAGUCUGUGGAUGGAUGGUAGUGAUGAUAGCACAACAAUGUGAAUGUAUUUAAUGCUGCAGAAGUAUACACUUGUAUGCAGCAGAAGAGCCUUUGAGUGAAGACCUGGGAACUUGGAAAAGACUUCUUACUCCGUUACACCAAUAACUCUCCAAAGGUUGCUCCUGGCAUGGUUUUGUGUUGUGGCUGUCCAGUCCAUGGACUUACACUCUAACAAAUGUGGCUUCAAUUGUGGUAGACCAAUCACACCCCAGAACUUAAGUGACUUGGGAUCAGUCCUGGUAUUUAGUAUUCAGGAGUGCUGAAAGGUGACACAAGUGGAACUUCUGAAGAAGUCAGAUGUGUCAUCUGUGGUGGGUCCAAGUUUUACUCUGCACCAGGAGAGGUUAGACGCUGCCACUGAUUUAUAGAAGUUGAUAUUGGUCUGGAGCUUGAUACCAUACUGGCGCCAUGCUGUCUGCUGGCCUUUCAAAGGGAAUUCUGGCUGUCUUAAUUUGACUUCAUAUUUUUUGGAUGAUCGAUGUGUUCUGGACAAUAUACUGCCUGUGUAGCAGAGUUUACUGUCGUUUAGCUCUGUGUUACCAGAAGCCGUUGCUGGCCAAGUCCUCACAGGAGCUGGGUGCUAUGUGACCAUAGUUGGCCUUAGGCUUCAGUCCUUAUUACCAAGCUGAUGCACCAAAAGGCCCUGAUCCCUUGUUUGUGUUCCAGUCUGUAUACAGGCAACAAAACGGCAAUUUCAGAGUGUCUUGACAAUCUCAUUAGGUUAAAGAGAAAACUGUUUUGUCGGUGUUUGGAAACGUGCAAACUUGUAGUCCCAAGGGAGACGGAAAGUGUUUAUUAAAUAAAAUCUAUUACCCCAGAGUGUAGUUGUGCGGAUGGAAUCAGAGAGCUCUGAGUUUCCCACAUGCAAUCAGACGAUGCUGGGCAAGAUUUUUCUGCUGGCAGAUGAAUCAUAGAAGCUCUUCCUCAGCCCCCAACACCAUGUAUGGCAAUGAGUGUGCGCUCAGAAUAUGUGACUAGAUGUGUGAACAAAUGAACAAGCAAAUUUUGUCAGUAGCUCUCCAAGUCUAGUUCUGCAAAUUGUGUCCAAAAUUUCCCUAAGGCCUUGAUAUCACUCCUUGCCAUUUUCCUCCACCUGUUAUGUAGCACAGAUCACAUCGCCCCAACUAUCUUGUAGUCUGAAGAAAGUUUCUCCACCACUGAUACUGAGAAACUAAUCCAGGGGACUUUUUCCUGGGAUUUUAGAGAGGAAAGGAGCAUGGCUUUCAGGGCCUUCUGAGCAUUAAACUGGGAUUGGAAGGAGGCUGCUCAUCGCAACCCUGCAGAAAAUAGCAAAGUAGGUCUGAAGACUCAAGACAGUGGAAUUCAGCCAUACUCACACACGGGAAUCACCAGCUCAAAAUUCAGCACCGUAUGUGAAUGACUGCUAGAUUCUACUCUAUUGACAUAUCAAGGAAAGUGUUGUUUUCAGAAGGUUGCUGUGGAUUUUAAAGCUGCCGGGAGAAGGGCUGCAGGAAUAAUUUUCUCUCAGUGUGAGAGGGCACACCACUUAAAAGGUGUCAGAAAAAUAAUACGCUCAGAAGAGCAGUCCUCAGGGAAAUCCCAGAGCAUCAGUGGCAAUGAUGGAAGAAAUAAGAACCAAAACAAACAUGAGAGUAUCAGGGAAGAGGCAGAAACGUGCCUUCCUUCCCCAGCAAGUUUGCUGCCUGUGGAAGGGGCACAGGAAGAAAACGUUCAUCCUGAACACGAGGGAGAAAGGGAGAGGCGGAUGAGUUCAGAUCUUCAUAAAGUAGCGCUUUAAACACGGUGUAAGGAUGAAAUCCUCACAGAACGCACAUCUGCUUUAGACUGGAGGACGAUUGUUUUUCUUUUCUUCCGUUUCAAUCAGUGUGAUCACAAAGGGUUAACUCAGCUUUGAUAGAGUGAGAAGUGCAACUUAUUUGUUGGUUCUCACUUAAUUCCCGUAAAGGGUAAACAAAACCCUUCCUUAUGUGCCUUACUAAGGAUCUUUUAAAAACUAAAGGGAGCAGUGGGAAGUCCAGGUGACAUGGAAAUAAUCCGGGAUUGUAUCUGGAAGUGCUGUCGCCCAGCAGGCGCAUCCUGGGUCCCAUUAUGGGCAGGUCCCUCCCCUUCCCCGCUUCCCUGUUUGAAGUGGCCGGGCACACUGCCUCCACCUGGAAGCUGAUAAGACAUCCUGCACACGCACUCUCAUGGUUUUCCAAGAAAAACAGCAAAGAAUGCACUUGUGUGGAGGUGCAGGAGUGGCUGACUGGCAGGGUCUCUCA
rnacentral:lncRNA from 1 species